rnacentral:rRNA from 1 species
CAGGAUGAACGCUGACAGAAUGCUUAACACAUGCAAGUCGAUUCGAUUUACCUUCGGGUAUUGAGGAUGGCGGACGGGUGAGUAACGCGUAAGGAACUUGCCUCUUGGUCUGGGACAACUGUUGGAAACGACAGCUAAUACCGGAUAUUAUGAGAUUCUCGCAUGGGAAACUUAUGAAAGCUAUAUGCGCCAAGAGAGAGCCUUGCGUUCCAUUAGCUAGUUGGUGGGGUAACGGCCCACCAAGGCGACGAUGGAUAGCCGGCCUGAGAGGGUGAACGNCCACAAGGGGACUGAGACACGGCCCUUACUCCUACGGGAGGCAGCAGUGGGGAAUAUUGGACAAUGGACCAAAAGUCUGAUCCAGCAAUUCUGUGUGCACGAUGAAGGUCUUCGGAUUGUAAAGUGCUUUCAGUUGGGAAGAAGAAAGUGNC